rnacentral:tRNA from 1 species
AUUACUUUGGCAGAAUAGUGCUUUGAAUUUAGAAUUCAAAUAUGUAAAGUUUACAAGUAAUA